AGUGAACGCUGGCGGUAGGCCUAACACAUGCAAGUCGAACGGCAGCACAGUAAGAGCUUGCUCUUACGGGUGGCGAGUGGCGGACGGGUGAGGAAUACAUCGGAAUUUACUUUUUCGUGGGGGAUAACGUAGGGAAACUUACGCCAAUACCGCAUACGACCUACGGGUGAAAGCAGGGGAUCUUCGGACCUUGCGCGAUUGAAUGAGCCGAUGUCGGAUUAGCUAGUUGGCGGGGUAAAGGCCCACCAAGGCGACGAUCCGUAGCUGGUCUGAGAGGAUGAUCAGCCACACUGGAACUGAGACACGGUCCAGACUCCUACGGGAGGCAGCAGUGGGGAAUAUUGGACAAUGGGCGCAAGCCUGAUCCAGCCAUACCGCGUGGGUGAAGAAGGCCUUCGGGUUGUAAAGCCCUUUUGUUGGGAAAGAAAAGCAGCAGGUUAAUACCCCGCUGUUCUGACGGUACCCAAAGAAUAAGCACCGGCUAACUUCGUG
rnacentral:rRNA from 1 species